UGAAUUCGCAUUUUUGAUCAUUUGCUACUCAAGUAAGUCCAUACCGACAGGUAUCAGAAUCUGCACAGUUGUGUUUUACGUGCACAAGUAAGCCCAAGUACAA